GCCGGAGUGGUGGAAUUGGCAGACACGCAUGCCUUAGGAGCAUGUGCCCGUAAGGGUGUGCAGGUUCAAGUCCUGUCUCCGGUACCA
rnacentral:tRNA from 1 species